UGGACAGAUUAUUGUAUUCGACUGUAUUCACGACGUAAAAUAUGGGAUUACACUGUUUUUAAAACGGAAAGUAAAUCAAUUAACAUAAUAGAUUCCU
rnacentral:pre_miRNA from 1 species